UUGCUGCCCUUCAAGCCCGGCUUGUGUGUUGGGUCGUCGUCCCCCCCGGGGGACGGGCCCGAAAGGCAGCGGCGGCACCGCGUCCGGUCCUCGAGCGUAUGGGGCUUUGUCACCCGCUCGAUUAGGGCCGGCCGGGCGCCAGCCGGCGUCUCCAACCUUCUAUUUUACCA
rnacentral:misc_RNA from 1 species